GUACGCUGCGAACGCCGCUAGAUGUCGGCGUCGACGCACUCGUCACGGCCUGAAAUGUGACCAAAUACAAAUUAAAUUAAAUGGCUGAUUUGAGACAACAAUACUCUGUCUUAAAUUUUCUGGUAUCAAAAGGAAUAUAAAUAUUUUUAAAGCUGACUACAGAAAGAGAGAGAGAGAAAAGGAAAAUAGUCAAAAGAAGAUAAGUGAAUCUUUUAAAAACAAAACAAAGAUAGCGAGAGGCACAGUAAUAUGAAGCUCGCAGUAUUACCUGUGUGAGGGCAUGUGGCGACGUGUGUCGCGGCUCGCGCGGCGGCCCGGGCGGGGCGGGCGGCGCGGGCGGGCCGGGCUUGCCUUGCGGCGGCGUGGGCGACAGCAGCAUGCUGCCCACCUUACUGCUGCGACCGCGACCGCUCGAUAUCUUCAGCCAGUCUUCUUCGCUCCUGUUUUACGACCAUUUCUUUGUAAAUUAAAUUAAAAAGUUCGAAGAAGAAUAUUUCCAUGUUUUUGUAAUGUUUAACCGAUAUCCCAAAAAGGAGUUUGUCUUUUUAACGACAUAUUUGCAUAGUACAAUUAAAAAGUUUUUGCUUUUUGAAUUCCAGAA